rnacentral:rRNA from 1 species
AGUGAACGCUGGCGGUAGGCCUAACACAUGCAAGUCGAACGGCAGCACAGUAAGAGCUUGCUCUUACGGGUGGCGAGUGGCGGACGGGUGAGGAAUACAUCGGAAUCUACUUUUUCGUGGGGGAUAACGUAGGGAAACUUACGCUAAUACCGCAUACGACCUACGGGUGAAAGCAGGGGAUCUUCGGACCUUGCGCGAUUGAAUGAGCCGAUGUCGGAUUAGCUAGUAGGCGGGGUAAAGGCCCACCAAGGCGACGAUCCGUAGCUGGUCUGAGAGGAUGAUCAGCCACGCUGGAACUGAGACACGGUCCAGACUCCUACGGGAGGCAGCAGUGGGGAAUAUUGGACAAUGGGCGCAAGCCUGAUCCAGCCAUACCGCGUGGGUGAAGAAGGCCUUCGGGUUGUAAAGCCCUUUUGUUGGGAAAGAAAAGCAGCAGGUUAAUACCCCGCUGUUCUGACGGUACCCAAAGAAUAAGCACCGGCUAACUUCGUG